GGAUUUGGCCGACACUGCACCUUCCUAAUACUUUUCAAUUUCAGAAUGGUGGAAUUGGGCCAGAAUCAACCCUGUCGUUAAGCCUGCCUCAGCAGAUGACAGCCUGAGGUUCAGAGGAGCAGAAACUAGGAGGAACCCCGUGUCUUUCAUCUCUUCACCAGCAUCACACUGGCUUUGGAAGCCCAGUCCUAUGAAAUAGGACAGGCAGUCAGAGACGUUUGGUCUGGAAGCCCUUGAGACUCAUGUUGGUAUCAACAGGAAACCUGGGGGAAAAAAGGAAAAUCCAAGAGGAAACCAAAAUACACACGACAAAGAAUAGGAAUUUGUGGUACAUUACUUUUGGAAAAGAAAACUAAACUUUGGGGUCUAGUCCUGCCUUGAUACAGAGGUCAUGGACAUAAAGCCAGCAGCAGCUUCCGUGUCUGAGGAUAGUAUACAUCCCCGCAGAGUGCUCCAUCUACUCCUCAUAUGUACAAAUAUGAAAAAGUGAGGAAUGCUAUUCUACAGCAAAAUGCCUCAGUCAUGUAAGUAAGAGAAAUACCGAGUGGGUCUUCUUUGACUCUUUGCUCAAUCUUAUACAAGCCAAAAAGUGUUUACUAAAGGAAAGGUGCCACUCAGGAUAGUCUUCCUUUCCCGAUCUGCCCCAGUGUUAGGUUCAACAACAACAACCACAUCAGCCUAGAGAGAGAGCA